rnacentral:rRNA from 1 species
AUGAAGAGCUUCCUGGUCCCUUCCGGCGACAAGGAAGAGGGGGCGGCGUUGGUGCCGCCUCAGGAGGACGGCGAGGCGCCGCGCAAGGUCGUCGUCGACGGCGGCAAAGCUGCUGACACGGCGGUUGAACGCUCGUCGCCGUCUUCGCCAUCAACAGCGACGACGACGAAGAAGCCGUGGUGGAAGGCCUCGCUGCUGUCUCCGACGAAGGGCGCCGUGGGGCUGGUGAUCGGCGGCCUCGUGCUCCUCGCGCUGCUCGCCGGCGCCAGAUGGAUCGACCUCGACGCCUCGUUCCUGCGGGGCAACGGCAGCGGCACCGGCGGCACCAGCCGUCGUUGGCGCCAUCCUCCCCGCCGCCAACGCUCGUCACCGCCCGUGCCCAUACCCUUCAGCUGCGGCAACGGGACGUCAUCGUCGUCUACGCCACUAUGCCGUCGCCCCCGUGGGGCAAUGCCACCACCGGCUGCAUCGCCAUCUCCAGCGGCGCCGGAACGGCCCGUGCCGCGGCCGCCUUCGUGCCCGGACUACUUCAGGCACAUCCACUCGGACCUUGCGCCGUGGCGCGAGAAGGGGAUCAGCAGGGAGGCGGUGGAGCACGGCCAGCCGAACGCAGCGUUCCGGCUGACGGUGGUCUUCGGGCGCGCGUACGUGGAGACGUACCACCGCGUGUUCCAGACGCGGGACCUAUUCACGCAGUGGGGGAUCGCGCAGCUGCUCGCCCGCUACCCAGGCCGCGUCCCGGACCUCGACCUCAUGUUCAACUGCGAGGACAUGCCGGAGCUGCGCGCCGCCGACUACCCGGACACCUCCGCCGCGCCGCCGCUCUUCCGCUACUGCAAGGACGGCACCUCGGUCGAGGUCCUCUUCCCGGACUGGUCCUUCUGGGGCUGGCCGGAGGUCAACAUCCGUCCAUGGGGGCCGCUCAUGAAGGAGAUCGCCAAGGAGAACGCGCGGCUCCCCUGGCCGGACAGGGAGCCGUACGCGUUCUGGAAGGGCAACCCUCACGUGUCGGAAGCGCGCCGCGACCUCUUCCGCUGCAGCAACGAUUCCGCCGCCGGCAAAGACUGGAACGCGCGGCUGUUCGCGCUGGACUGGGGCGCCGCCAACCGGAACGGCUUCAAGGGCUCCAACCUGGCGGAGCAGUGCCGGUACAGGUACAAGAUCUACGUGCAGGGGCGGUCGUGGUCGGUGAGCGAGAAGUACAUUCUCGCAUGCGACUCGCCGAUGCUGGCCAUCGACACGCCCUUCGAGGACUUCUUCUCCCGGGGGCUCGUCGCCGGCCGCCACUACUGGCCCAUCGACCCCAGGGACAAGUGCCGCGCGGUCAAGUUCGCCGUCGACUGGGGGAACGGGCAUCCGGCGCUGGCCCAGCGCAUGGGCAAGGAGGGCAGCGGGUUCGCGAGGGAGGAGAUGAGCAUGGACUACGUUUACGACUACAUGUUGCACGUGCUCACCCAGUACGCUGCCCUGCUCCGGUACAAGCCCACCGUGCCGGAGAACGCCGUGGAGCUCUGCCCCGAGUCCAUGGCCUGCUCCGCCCAAGGCCGGGACAGGGAGUUCAUGAUGGAGUCCAGGGAGAUGUAUGUGGCCGGAUACGAGCCAUGCACGUUGCCGCCGCCGUUCACCGCCGAGGAGGAGAGGGAGAUGGCUGCGAGGGAAGAGGAUGUGCGAAGAAGAGUAGUUAAAAUGGAGGGGAGGUAG